GAUGAACGCUAGCGGCAGGCUUAACACAUGCAAGUCGAGGGGUAACAUAGAAAAGCUUGCUUUUCUGAUGACGACCGGCGCACGGGUGCGUAACGCGUAUACAACCUACCUUUUAGCGGGGAAUAGCCCAGGGAAACUUGGAUUAAUGCCCCAUAGUAUAUAGACUUCUCCUGAAGUUUAUAUUAAACAUUUAUGGCCAUUAGAUGGGUAUGCGUCCUAUUAGCUAGUUGGUGUGGUAACGGCACACCAAGGCUACGAUAGGUAGGGGUCCUGAGAGGGAGAUCCCCACACUGGUACUGAGACACGGACCAGACUCCUACGGGAGGCAGCAGUGAGGAAUAUUGGACAAUGGGCGAGAACCUGAUCCAGCCAUGCCGCGUGCAGGAAGACUGCCCUAUGGGUUGUAAACUGCUUUUACAGAGGAAGAACCACCCCCACGUGUGGGGGUUUGACGGUACUCUGCGAAUAAGGAUCGGCUAACUCCGUG
rnacentral:rRNA from 1 species